rnacentral:rRNA from 1 species
AAAAGGAAUUCGGACGGGGGCCCGCACAAGCGGUGGAGCAUGUUGGUUAAUUCGAAGCAACGCGAAGAACCUUACCAGGUCUUGACAUCCCGAUGCUAUUUCUAGAGAUAGAAAGUUACUUCGGUACAUCGGUGACAGGUGGUGCAUGGUUGUCGUCAGCUCGUGUCGUGAGAUGUUGGGUUAAGUCCCGCAACGAGCGCAACCCCUAUUGUUAGUUGCCAUCAUUCAGUUGGGCACUCUAGCGAGACUGCCGGUAAUAAACCGGAGAAGGUGGGGAUGACGUCAAAUCAUCAUGCCCCUUAUGACCUGGGCUACACACGUGCUACAAUGGUUGGUACAACGAGUUGCGAGUCGGUGACGGCGAGCUAAUCUCUUAAAGCCAAUCUCAGUUCGGAUUGUAGGCUGCAACUCGCCUACAUGAAGUCGGAAUCGCUAGUAAUCGCGGAUCAGCACGCCGCGGUGAAUACGUUCCCGGGCCUU